AAGCGCUUACAACCAGACUUGGAGUUGACAUUCAGCGGUUCAUUGGAUCGUGUACUUUGUUAGCUACAGGCCAGCAUCAGUUUUCGCGGUUGGAAAAAAGCAUUGGGAACGUGGCUCCUCGGAGUGUUAUAGCCCUUUGCAGAAUACAGCCAGUGAAGACUGAGGUCCGCCAUUGAAGGAUGCUGGCAUAAUGGUUGUUAGCGG
rnacentral:rRNA from 1 species